UCGUGCUAGACGGGGAGCUAGCGGUGCCCUGUAACCCGAAAUCCGCUUAUGCGGGGUUGAAACUCCUUGAUGAGAACUGCCUUCGGCAAUGCCCCUGAUCGUCUCUUGUGAUGAGGUGGACCUCACGUGACAGAAACCUACGAACCCCGUCAGGUCCGGGAGGAAGCAGCGGUAAGUACGGUAUUCUGUGUCGUGAUGCUAUCUACCUCUCUUUCACAGGGCGAUUAAGACAUGCCGGAGAAAGUUCGAAUAAGGAUGCACGA
rnacentral:SRP_RNA from 1 species